AUGGUCAUUGCAGCACCACCAUUAACACCCCCACCCUCAUCGAUUGUCAUGGCCAUUACAGCACCACUACCAUUAACGCCCCACCAGCCCUCCUAAACAAUAGUCAUGGCCACCAACAUUUUAAAUCCCUUAACAAUAGUCAUGGCUAUGAUCAAAUUGAAGAACUACAAAAAAAUGAAGAACAAAUUGAUUCUUCUGUCAAAUUUCAACAAACCAAAUGAGUGAAAAUUCAUAAAAAUAAAAAAGGAACAAGUGAGCUAUUUUCUCAAACUUCAACAAUUAAAACAUUACUUUUCAAUAUAUCCAAUAAGUAAAAAAUAUAAAAGAAGAAAAAAUUAAUUCGUUUCUCAAAUUCCAACAAAUCCAACACAUAAAACUUCACUUCUUGUUCUUCUUCGGCUCCUACCACUUUGACUCUCUUUAAUUUUUUAAAAUUUUGAGCAGAAAAAAUAUUUCUCAAAUUUUUCGAUCCUCACUUCUUAAUUUUUCCAAAAAAGCAAGAACAAUAAGAAGAUGAAGAUGAUGAAGGAAAAGAAGAACGAGAAGAGGAGGAAGAAGAAUAAGGAAAAAAAGAAG
rnacentral:lncRNA from 1 species